rnacentral:rRNA from 1 species
CCUACGGGGGGCAGCAGUGGGGAAUAUUGGACAAUGGGCGAAAGUCUGAUCCAGCCAUGCCGCGUGUGUGAAGAAGGCCUUCGGGUUGUAAAGCACUUUCAGUGGGGAAGAAAGCCUUGGGGCUAAUACCCUCGAGGAAGGACAUCACCCACAGAAGAAGCACCGGCUAACUCCGUGCCAGCAGCCGCGGUAAUACGGAGGGUGCGAGCGUUAAUCGGAAUUACUGGGCGUAAAGCGCGCGUAGGCGGUCUGAUAAGCCGGUUGUGAAAGCCCCGGGCUCAACCUGGGAACGGCAUCCGGAACUGUCAGGCUAGAGUGCAGGAGAGGAAGGUAGAAUUCCCGGUGUAGCGGUGAAAUGCGUAGAGAUCGGGAGGAAUACCAGUGGCGAAGGCGGCCUUCUGGACUGACACUGACGCUGAGGUGCGAAAGCGUGGGUAGCAAACAGGAUUAGAUACCCUUGUAGUC